GGGCGAAUGAUGUUUUCAACAUGCAACAACUUAUCUGAAGCUCAGUGCUGAAUUGUUGUUUCGAGCUUUUUAACUCUGAUGCCCU
rnacentral:snoRNA from 1 species